AUGACAAGGCCUGUGCAAGCACUAAGAGGAGUUGCGCCACAACUUUUGAUGCAUACGGCACUAGCAAGAGGUCCUGCGCGACCUCCUAUGGGUCCUAGACCAGCAAUUUGGCCUGCACCACAAACUAUGGGGGCUAUACAACCACCGCAGCGGCCUAACGCGGCAAACACAACCAAUGUGGCUAGUCCUGGACUGGCACCAUCACCUGCAUCAUCAGCAACAGUGGAUGGCAUGUAUGGACAGCACCCAGGUUCUUCAAAUACACAACAAGAAAAUGCCAAUGCAAUUCCAUCUCCUAUUGUGCAAGCUCCUGGUGGACAUGCGCACCAACCGCUCAGUAUGGCAUCUCUACAUGCAGCUGUUGCGGCCGCACAAGGUACUACGAUGGUUGAACCACAGUUUGGAAGACCUGCUACCACACUUGGCCCUGCAAUUCCUAGAGACCCUCCAAAAUCAACAACAAAAGGGAGGGCAAAGUCAAAAAGAAUUCAAUCAGCACUUGAGCUGCAUCUGAAGAGAAAGAACAAGUGCAGCUAUUGUGGUUCUGUUAACCACAAUGGUGCAAGCUGCCCGACCAGAUUGGUGUAA
rnacentral:rRNA from 1 species